CCCCUCUCAGGAUCGCACCUGGAAAGUUUCCAGUACACUACCAGUCUUGGCGACAGGAGGGAGAGUCAGGCAGAAGACUGUCCAUUCCAUUCCUAGCUUGGCCAGUGGCUAGUGAAUGGAAGGCAGUCUGCUACGAGU